UACGAAGGGGGCUAGCGUUGUUCGGAAUUACUGGGCGUAAAGCGUGCGCAGGCGGUUUUGUAAGCCGGAUGUGAAAUCCCCGGGCUUAACCUGGGAAUGGCAUUCGGGACUGCAAGGCUGGAGUGCGGCAGAGGAGACUGGAAUUCCUGGUGUAGCAGUGAAAUGCGUAGAUAUCAGGAGGAACACCUGUGGUGUAGACAGCUUACUGGACCAUAACUGACGCUGAGGCACGAAAGCGUGGGUAGCAAACAGG
rnacentral:rRNA from 1 species